GGACUACAAGGGUUUCUAAUCCUGUUCGCUCCCCACGCUUUCGCGUCUCAGCGUCAGUACCGUCCCAGAGAGCUGCCUUCGCCAUCGGUGUUCUUCCUGAUAUCUGCGCAUUUCACCGCUACACCAGGAAUUCCACUCUCCUCUUCCGGACUCUAGUCCGAUGGUUUCCGAUGGCCUCUCGAAGUUGAGCCUCGAGUUUUCACAUCGGACCUAUCGAACCGCCUACACGCGCUUUACGCCCAAUGAAUCCGGACAACGCUUGCCCCCUACGUAUUACCGCGGCUGCUGGCACGUAGUUAGCCGGGGCUUCUUCUGGAGGUACCGUCACCCUCUGGGCUGUUAACCCGAGUGGCUUCGUCCCUCCUGAAAGCGGUUUACAACCCGAAGGCCUUCUUCCCGC
rnacentral:misc_RNA from 1 species